rnacentral:rRNA from 1 species
GACGAACGCUGGCGGCGUGCUUAACACAUGCAAGUCGAGCGGAAAGGCCCUUUCGGGGGUACUCGAGCGGCGAACGGGUGAGUAACACGUGAGUAAUCUGCCCCUGGCUUUGGGAUAGCCACCGGAAACGGUGAUUAAUACCGGAUACGACCACUUCUCGCAUGGGAUGGUGGUGGAAAGUUUUUCGGCCAGGGAUGUGCUCGCGGCCUAUCAGCUUGAUGGUGAGGUAAUGGCUCACCAUGGCUUCGACGGGUAGCCGGCCUGAGAGGGUGGCCGGGCACACUGGGACGUAGACACGGCCCAGACUCCUACGGGAGGCAGCAGUGGGGAAUAUUGGACAAUGGGCGGAAGCCUGAUCCAGCAACGCCGCGUGAGGGAUGACGGCCUUCGGGUUGUAAACCUCUUUCAGCAGGGACGAAGCGCAAGUGACGGUACCUGCAGAAGAAGCACCGGCCAACUACGUGCCAGCCGCCGCCGUAA